rnacentral:rRNA from 1 species
UACGGAGGGUGCAAGCGUUAUCCGGAUUUACUGGGUUAAAGGGUGCGUAGGUGGGCAGGUAAGUCAGUGGUGAAAUCUCCGAGCUUAACUCGGAAACUGCCAUUGAUACUAUCUGUCUUGAAUUAUCUGGAGGUGAGCGGAAUAUGUCAUGUAGCGGUGAAAUGCUUAGAUAUGACAUAGAACACCAAUUGCGAAGGCAGCUCACUACGGAUAUAUUGACACUGAGGCAC